CAGACUGCUAUUCUCCCAACUCUCUCACGCAAAAACGUCUUCAUCUCCAGUGGAAGUAUUGAAAAAUUUUUGUAGAAAAUGAUGUUUAUUGACGAAACGAAAUGAGUGGUCGUAGCAUGUAGUGCUUCGUUUGCGUGGAAUCACAGUCUUAAAGUUUCGUUUUGAGCAUCGUAAGUACAGAUCCACCAGAUUUUUUUUUUGACUCAGUUGGGUUUCCGUAUCUGUGAGGCAAGAAAACACCAGUCCCUGCACAUUCUUUUUUAACACCAGUCCCUGCACAUUCUUUUUUAACACCAGAUCCACCAAGAAAAACUGCUCUCAUGCCGGAAUUAGUACCGGAUUGUUGCUGUUGUUGUUGAUGGUGGUUCUGCUUUUGAAGAGAAGGCCAAGCAGACUGAGGUAGAGCUAGUGGAUGCGCGCAUCUUCCAUGUUCGCAGCAAACUCCUCUGUUUCUGUUCUGCAUCUGCUGUUGCUGGUGGUGGUGCUGAGGUUGAAGGAGGGGUGUUUUAGUCUUUUAGUCUUCAAUUAACGAAAAAAAACCAAUUUUUCGGACGGAAUGACCUUUUAAUUAGACUGAGUUAAACCUGAGGGACAAGUUAGAUAUUUGUGCAAAACUUGAUAUUAGUUGGAUAAUUAUGUAAAAUCUGAGGGACUAAAUAAUAAUUUUCCCAUUUUACAUUA